rnacentral:misc_RNA from 1 species
AUGCGAUAAGUAAUGUGAAUUGCAGAAUUCAGUGAAUCAUCGAAUCUUUGAACGCACAUUGCGCCCGCCAGCAUUCUGGCGGGCAUGCCUGUCCGAGCGUCAUUUCAACCCUCAGGCUCCCGCGCCUGGCGUUGGGGAUCGGCCUUCACCGGCCGGCCCCGAAAUACAGUGGCGGCCCCGCCGUAGACCUCCUCUGCGUAGUAGCACACACCUCGCAGCCUGGGAGCGCGGCGGCGGCCACGCCGGAAAACCCCCGACUUCUGAAAGUUGACCUCGGAUCAGGUAGGAAUACCCGCUGAACUUAA